UGGGGAAUAUUGCACAAUGGGCGCAAGCCUGAUGCAGCCAUGCCGCGUGUAUGAAGAAGGCCUUCGGGUUGUAAAGUACUUUUAGCGAGGAGGAAGGCGUUGUGGUUAAUAACCGCAACGAUUGACGUUACUCGCAGAAGAAGCACCGGCUAACUCCGUGCCAGCAGCCGCGGUAAUACGGAGGGUGCAAGCGUUAAUCGGAAUUACUGGGCGUAAAGCGCACGCAGGCGGUCUGUCAAGUCGGAUGUGAAAUCCCCGGGCUCAACCUGGGAACUGCAUCCGAAACUGGCAGGCUAGAGUCUUGUAGAGGGGGGUAGAAUUCCAGGUGUAGCGGUGAAAUGCGUAGAGAUCUGGAGGAAUACCGGUGGCGAAGGCGGCCCCCUGGACAAAGACUGACGCUCAGGUGCGAAAGCGUGGGGAGCAAACA
rnacentral:rRNA from 1 species